UCUCCGUAGGUGAACCUGCGGAGGGAUCAUUACAGAGUUCUCGCCCUCGCGGGUAGAUCUCCCACCCACUGUUAUCGUUACUGUGUUGCUUUGGCGGGCCGCCGGGCCCCGCUCGGCCGCCGGCUCCGGCUGGCGCGCGCCCGCCAGAGGCCCAGCAAACUCUGAAUGUUAGUGUCGUCUGAGUACUAUAUAAUAGUUAAAACUUUCAACAACGGAUCUCUUGGUUCUC
rnacentral:misc_RNA from 1 species